rnacentral:lncRNA from 1 species
GGAGGGAAAAUUUGGCACCAUUUUUUGCUACUUCACUAUAGAAAGGAUUCAAGAUUUAGACCAGGAAAGGAAUAUCCUGGACAAGCAAUUUUACUUUAUUUUAUGGAGCUUGUGAAGUGUGUGACUAAUCAGGUUUCUCCUUUGUUGACUACUGGAGAGUUUAGAGCCAAAUGUGUGGUUCAUGCAUAGCAUUUGUAAAAGGACUCCAUGGUAUGUAUGCACUUUGUAUUAACUGUCUUCCAGGCUCCAUUCUAUUUUCCUGUGUUUUUGAUUUUGUUUGUUUUGCUUUUCUUUUACUUUCUUGUCUACAUUGAAUUUAUACUAUCAUGUUGUAUUUGGUGUAUUCUUGUAAACCACCUGACAUACAUUUUGGAACAAGGUGAGGAAUACAUACAUGAAUGAAUAAAUAUAUUCAAUACAUUAGUAAAUAAAUCAAUAAGGAAUAGGCAAUGAGGCAAAUGAAUGCAGCCAGGACUUUGAAAAUGGAAUAGUGUCUCUACAAAUGAUCGAUAUUAAGGAUUUGCAGCUUGGAAGAACAUAUUGGAAAGAAUCAGGUGAGGCUGCAUUUAGUGGUGACAUGUUCUAUGUGACAUUUGUGUCUUCUGAAGUGUGCUUAUGUGUCUUGUGUCUUGUGCUGCUUUGAGCAUUAGGUAUGUUUUGAAGGGCUGUGUCUGUAGAGAGCACAGUUCAUGUGCAUUUAGUUUGUGGAGAAUCCAGAGAGAAUUGGGAACUUGGUGAGCUGAGGAAUGAUGGAUUGUUCCCUCUUCCUGAGCCUACUAGGGGAUAGUUUUGUAUGAAUCAAAUCAAGACAUAUAGGGAAUGAUCAAUUAUUUACUGUCUGGUAACUGGGUGCCAAGCAGUGUGUCAGGUACUAUACAUGCAUUCAGUGUUAAUCCCUAUAGCUACUCUGUAUUAUCCCCUUUUUACCAAUGAGGCAAUCUAAUCUCAAAGCAUUUAAAUAGAUGGCCUAGGACCAGAUAGCAAAGGAAAGAAGCCAGAAAUCUCCUAAGUCUUCGUGACUCUAAACCCUGCUUAUUUUCCACCCUCCUAUAUUAUAUCGCCUUGCAAUGUGACAAAGGGACUAUGUGGUAAACUAUGUUCUUAGCAUCUGAGGCCAGUAGUGGCUUUCAUUUUUCCUUAAAAAGACUCCAGUGUACUUUGAAAUGUGUCUGAAUUUCAGAAAAGAGGAUUUUUUAAAUAACCACUCAGCAGGAAAGAAAGAAAGAAAAAAAAUUCAUAUUUGUUUUAAAAGAAUUGAUGGUGAGACAACAUUAUUCAGAAUAGAGAUGCUAACAUUUGAUUUGGAGUUUUGUGUGUUAGAUUAUCAUUGGGGUGUAUGCUUCAUAAGCUUACAUGUUGAUUGCUUUAGAAAGUUGAAGCUCUAAAUGGGUGUGAUCACAAAAUGGGCAAAAUUUCUUAAAGUGGUAUAUAGUUUUGUAAAUGUAUCCAGUAUAUAUUGCUGUUCUAAUACCAAAGUAUGUCAUCUUCUAUAUACCCCCCCACAGCAGGAAGCACUGCUGUAUAACAAUUAUAUUAAAGAAAACUCACAAAUAUCCUUUAUGAUUUUGUUAAUCAAAUGUCUUGAUCAAUGCACAUUACUUAUUUUCAUCUAAAUAAUGCACAAUAAAAU